AUGGUUUACUGGAGACAUGAGCAGGGGAGAUGUCUGUGUCUUUUUAGUGCCCUAGAAAAUUGUUUCCACUUGCUCCUUCCAAAGAUCAACCCUAUCUUUCCCAAUUUGGUAUAUGGCAAAUUUGACAUGUGCAGGGGAGAUGAUGAACAGGUUUGCUCUGUGCACCCUCUCUCUCUCUCUCUCUCGCUCUCUCUCAGCUCUCUCAGCUCUCCCUGGUUUCCUCUUCAUACAAACAAGAAGAGCUGCUGCUUUUGCAGUGUUGACAUUUCCAUAGAAUCUUGUGACGAUCUGAGGCCAUAAAUGGCUUUUGUGUCUUUACAAAGCCUUCGAUCGAUGACUGAAACACGGACCUCUUUUGGAGGAAGAUGACCAGUUGUCUUUGCAUGCCAUGCCUAAUCAAUGCCAUCGUCUUCAGCAACUGUAGCGUGCUACCCACCCAUACUACGGAUGGAGAUAAGGAUGGGCGAUAAAAAGGGACAGCUUUUGUGUUCGGGUGAUGUUUUCCUCUAAUUUAGCGUACAUAAUAUACUUGCAAAUCUAAGAAUUUUCACAUGUCAUUAUAAUUAAUCUAUGUCUAUUAACUAAUCUUUGAUUGCUGAUUGAUGUUCGUUCUAAAUGGUAUUAGCGUCCUUUAAAAUUAAAUAUGAUCAAAGAAACACAUCAGGGGUACUUUAGGUAUUUAAUUUUUCCAAUUUAACUAUGGUUAGCUGUGG
rnacentral:lncRNA from 1 species